GACGAACGCUGGCGGCGUGCCUAAUACAUGCAAGUAGAACGCUGAAGGAGGAGCUUGCUUCUCCGGAUGAGUUGCGAACGGGUGAGUAACGCGUAGGUAACCUGCCUGGUAGCGGGGGAUAACUAUUGGAAACGAUAGCUAAUACCGCAUAACAGUAGAUAUUGCAUGAUAUCUGCUUGAAAGGUGCAAUUGCAUCACUACCAGAUGGACCUGCGUUGUAUUAGCUAGUUGGUGAGGUAACGGCUCACCAAGGCGACGAUACAUAGCCGACCUGAGAGGGUGAGCGGCCACACUGGGACUGAGACACGGCCCAGACUCCUACGGGAGGCAGCAGUAGGGAAUCUUCGGCAAUGGACGGAAGUCUGACCGAGCAACGCCGCGUGAGUGAAGAAGGUUUUCGGAUCGUAAAGCUCUGUUGUAAGAGAAGAACGAGUGUGAGAGUGGAAAGUUCACACUGUGACGGUAUCUUACCAGAAAGGGACGGCUAACUACGUG
rnacentral:rRNA from 1 species